ACUAAGCGUACACGGUGGAUGCCCUGGCAGUCAGAGGCGAUGAAGGACGUGCUAAUCUGCGAAAAGCGUCGGUAAGGUGAUAUGAACCGUUAUAACCGGCGAUGUCCGAAUGGGGAAACCCAGUGCAAUUCGUUGCACUAUCGUUAACUGAAUACAUAGGUUAACGAGGCGAACCGGGGGAACUGAAACAUCUAAGUACCCCGAGGAAAAGAAAUCAACCGAGAUUCCCCCAGUAGCGGCGAGCGAACGGGGAGCAGCCCAGAGUCUGAAUCAGCUUGUGUGUUAGUGGAACGGUCUGGAAAGUCCGACGGUACAGGGUGAUAGUCCCGUACACCAAAAUGCACAGGUUGUGAACUCGAAGAGUAGGGCGGGACACGUGGUAUCCUGUCUGAAUAUGGGGGGACCAUCCUCCAAGGCUAAAUACUCCUGACUGACCGAUAGUGAACCAGUACCGUGAGGGAAAGGCGAAAAGAACCCCGGCGAGGGGAGUGAAAAAGAACCUGAAACCGUGUACGUACAAGCAGUGGGAGCACCUUCGGGUGUGACUGCGUACCUUUUGUAUAAUGGGUCAGCGACUUAUAUUCUGUAGCAAGGUUAACCGUAUAGGGGAGCCGCAGGGAAACCGAGUCUUAACUGGGCGUUAAGUUGCAGGGUAUAGACCCGAAACCCGGUGAUCUAGCCAUGGGCAGGUUGAAGGUUGGGUAACACUAACUGGAGGACCGAACCGACUAAUGUUGAAAAAUUAGCGGAUGACUUGUGGCUGGGGGUGAAAGGCCAAUCAAACCGGGAGAUAGCUGGUUCUCCCCGAAAGCUAUUUAGGUAGCGCCUCGUGAACUCAUCUUCGGGGGUAGAGCACUGUUUCGGCUAGGGGGUCAUCCCGACUUACCAACCCGAUGCAAACUACGAAUACCGAAGAAUGUUAUCACGGGAGACACACGGCGGGUGCUAACGUCCGUCGUGAAGAGGGAAACAACCCAGACCGCCAGCUAAGGUCCCAAAGUCAUGGUUAAGUGGGAAACGAUGUGGGAAGGCACAGACAGCCAGGAUGUUGGCUUAGAAGCAGCCAUCAUUUAAAGAAAGCGUAAUAGCUCACUGGUCGAGUCGGCCUGCGCGGAAGAUGUAACGGGGCUAAACCAUGCACCGAAGCUGCGGCAGCGACACUAUGUGUUGUUGGGUAGGGGAGCGUUCUGUAAGCCUGCGAAGGUGACCUGUGAGGGUUGCUGGAGGUAUCAGAAGUGCGAAUGCUGACAUAAGUAACGAUAAAGCGGGUGAAAAGCCCGCUCGCCGGAAGACCAAGGGUUCCUGUCCAACGUUAAUCGGGGCAGGGUGAGUCGACCCCUAAGGCGAGGCCGAAAGGCGUAGUCGAUGGGAAACAGGUUAAUAUUCCUGUACUUGGUGUUACUGCGAAGGGGGGACGGAGAAGGCUAUGUUAGCCGGGCGACGGUUGUCCCGGUUUAAGCAUGUAGGCUGGUUGUCCAGGCAAAUCCGGAUAAUCAAGGCUGAGGUGUGAUGACGAGGCACUACGGUGCUGAAGUAACAAAUGCCCUGCUUCCAGGAAAAGCCUCUAAGCAUCAGGUAACAUUAAAUCGUACCCCAAACCGACACAGGUGGUCAGGUAGAGAAUACCAAGGCGCUUGAGAGAACUCGGGUGAAGGAACUAGGCAAAAUGGUGCCGUAACUUCGGGAGAAGGCACGCUGGUGUGUAGGUGAAGCCCCUGCGGGUGGAGCUGAGACCAGUCGAAGAUACCAGCUGGCUGCAACUGUUUAUUAAAAACACAGCACUGUGCAAACACGAAAGUGGACGUAUACGGUGUGACGCCUGCCCGGUGCCGGAAGGUUAAUUGAUGGGGUUAUCCGUAAGGAGAAGCUCUUGAUCGAAGCCCCGGUAAACGGCGGCCGUAACUAUAACGGUCCUAAGGUAGCGAAAUUCCUUGUCGGGUAAGUUCCGACCUGCACGAAUGGCGUAAUGAUGGCCAGGCUGUCUCCACCCGAGACUCAGUGAAAUUGAACUCGCUGUGAAGAUGCAGUGUACCCGCGGCAAGACGGAAAGACCCCGUGAACCUUUACUAUAGCUUGACACUGAACAUUGAGCCUUGAUGUGUAGGAUAGGUGGGAGGCUUUGAAGCGUGGACGCCAGUCUGCGUGGAGCCAACCUUGAAAUACCACCCUUUAAUGUUUGAUGUUCUAACGUUGGCCCCUUACCGGGGUUGCGGACAGUGUCUGGUGGGUAGUUUGACUGGGGCGGUCUCCUCCUAAAGCGUAACGGAGGAGCACGAAGGUUAGCUAAUCCUGGUCGGACAUCAGGAGGUUAGUGCAAUGGCAUAAGCUAGCUUGACUGCGAGCGUGACGGCGCGAGCAGGUGCGAAAGCAGGUCAUAGUGAUCCGGUGGUUCUGAAUGGAAGGGCCAUCGCUCAACGGAUAAAAGGUACUCCGGGGAUAACAGGCUGAUACCGCCCAAGAGUUCAUAUCGACGGCGGUGUUUGGCACCUCGAUGUCGGCUCAUCACAUCCUGGGGCUGAAGUAGGUCCCAAGGGUAUGGCUGUUCGCCAUUUAAAGUGGUACGCGAGCUGGGUUUAGAACGUCGUGAGACAGUUCGGUCCCUAUCUGCCGUGGGCGCUGGAGAAUUGAGGGGGGCUGCUCCUAGUACGAGAGGACCGGAGUGGACGCAUCACUGGUGUUCGGGUUGUCAUGCCAAUGGCACUGCCCGGUAGCUAAAUGCGGAAGAGAUAAGUGCUGAAAGCAUCUAAGCACGAAACUUGCCCCGAGAUGAGUUCUCCCUGAGACUUUAAGUCUCCUGAAGGAACGUUGAAGACGACGACGUUGAUAGGCCGGGUGUGUAAGCGCAGCGAUGCGUUGAGCUAACCGGUACUAAUGAACCGUGAGGCUUAACC
rnacentral:rRNA from 1 species